UUUUUGUUCUUCAAAUAUAUAAUCUUAGUUCAGUCAUACAGAUAUAUACAUUGUAUAAUAAAUAAUAUUUAUAAAAACAUAACAUUUCAGAUUAUAAAAUAAAAAGGGAAUUAUUCACUUUGUACAAAACUUUGGAUAUAGCAGGGGGGGGGGGGGGGGGGGUGGCUGAGUGGAGAAAGGGAGGUAGAGGGUUUGAGGAGAUGGUGGCCCAGGAGGACCAUGUUAAGAGAAUUGUGUUACGGGUGACGCAGACCCUAUGCUAUGUCUGCACUGUGUGGUGCUUGUGGCUCGGGAGUACUGAAUAUAAUUAAUAGGGAGCAGGUUGAACUGUCGGGACAUGUGGAGGGGAAAGUGCUCUCAGGGCUGGUUCCAGCGCUAUGCGGAGCCAACCUGCCUGCAACACGUCCGUCCCCGUUCUCUCUCGGCUACGAUUGCGCACUGCAUCCUCGACUACAUACUGGUGUUAAGGGCUGAUUAUGGGUCCACGUCGACGCAACGCAAGGGGGUUUACGGACCCGUUACGUCCUUGCGGACCCUCCUUGCGUCCACCGCAAGGGCCUGACGGUUAGGGUUCACGUGGCAGCAAGGGCUGUGAUUGGUCCGCUCACUAAAACCCUGGCGAAGAACCAAAAACCGGUUCACGACUGCGUCGAAGCGUCUGCGUGGUCCUUGAUUUGCGUCGACGUGGAACCAUAAUCAGCCCUUUAGUCACUGGCGGUAUGUGCGUUUGCCCUGAUACAUAUCACAGACACACGGAUCACAUCUUGCACAAAUAGAGUAGGGAUCGAGACCAGCUGCGGUUUCUGAACACUAUUCCCUUGAUGUGGCAAGAAAUUCGACCAAUUUGAAUGUCGCACUACAGGCCAGGUUUUUAUAACGGUAAUCCUGUUUUGCUAUGAAUUUGAUAAGCCAUUUGAUUCAAAUUCAAAUUAUCGUUAUUCUUGUUUCAGUAGUUUCCCUUUGUGAACAUUGCACGGCAAGCCAGUAUUGUCCAACAAUUUAUGUUGGAGCAUUUGAAAUGAAUCGUUUAGCCGUUUCUUAUGCUCCGAUGUUUUCCAUCCAUCUAAUCGAGGAAUUUGAACUCUGCCUCAUCAUCAUCAUCAUCGUCAUCAUCAGUGGAUCUGACGAAUCAACAUCUCAAACCUGACUAUGAAUCCACGUUUGCUCGCGGGGUUCCUAGGGUAUUGCUGUGUUGAAUGAUGUGUAUUAUUCAUUCAAUAAUAAAUAGCUGUCCCAACUGCUACCUGACAGGUGGAUAGUAACCGACUGUUGGAUCGAUGCAGUAAGGAAGGAAUGGUCAGCGACCGGCUUGGGGAGGUUUACCAAUCAGCACUGCCUUCUCAGGUACACACUGCAAACACACUACACACACGUGUAGUGGGGUCGAGAAGGUCCACACGGUCCACACACACUACACACACGUGUACCGGGUGUGAGCAGGUACACACAGCCCACACACACUACACACACGUGUACCGGGUGUGAGCAGGUCCACACGGCCCACACACACUACACACAAGUGUACCGGGUGUGAGCAGCCCACACACACUACACACCGCCACACACACACUACACACACGUGUACCGGGUGUGAGCAG
ensembl:lncRNA